CAAUAGCGUAUAUUAAUGUUGUUGCAGUUAAAAAGCUCGUAGUUGGAUUUCUGGUGGGAGCGGCCGGUCCGCCGUAAGGUGUGUACUUGGUUGUCUCCUGUCAUCCUUGUGGGAACUGCUCUGGCAUUAAGUUGUCGGGGUUAGGGAACACAUCGUUUACUGUGAAAAAAUUAGAGUGUUUAAAGCAGGCUUAUGCCGUUGAAUACAUUAGCAUGGAAUAAUAAGAUAGGACUUUGGCGUCUAUUUUGUUGGUUUGCACACCAAGGUAAUGAUUAAUAGGGAUAGUUGGGGGUAUUCGUAUUUAAUUGUCAGAGGUGAAAUUCUUGGAUUUAUGGAAGACGAACUUCUGCGAAAGCAUUUACCAAAGAUGUUUUCAUUA
rnacentral:rRNA from 1 species